AGGAAGGGGACACAUGGAAGCAUCUGGACAGAGAAACAGAAACAACUUUGGAGGCUGGCACUGCAGUUGUGACCAGGUUGCACGCUUUGGGAACAUUUCUCUGUGAACAGAUAGCCAAAUCACAAAGAAUAAACUUUGACUUUUAGAUAAUCCCUCAAGUUUUCAAAUAGUUCCCAAACCAGAUUGGCACCGAUGUGUGGAAGGUAUUAAAAAAAGAAAAACCAAAUAAGAAACUCCUGAAAAUGCACAAAUGUGGCUGUGAGUUUUGUCUGUGGUUUUCAAAAUCACUCAUCUUGAAAUACACAAAGGGACACCUGAGGGACAGAUCACCACAGUGAAAGUUUCUUCAUUUUUUUUCAAUUCCUCUGUUCUUAUCCACUCUCAUAGGCAGAACUUUUGCUCUGACACAGGCAUUGCUUGAGGUUUUGUUCUGGAUUUGUCUGGACUAGAGGUAACUUUCUUCAUGUGUCUAGUAUGGACUGUGUUUUGGAAUUGUGCUUAAGACAGGGCUGAUAAUACAGAGAUGUUUUUGUUAUUGAUGAGCAGAGCUUACACAGAGCCAAGGCCUUUUCUGUUUUCCAUACUGCCAAGCUGCAGAGGACUUUGGUGGUAUAUGGGAGGGUGGGGGGAGAAACAGCUAGGGCAGGUGACCCAAACUGACCAAAGAGAUGUUCAAUACCAUCUGACAUCCUGCUCAGUGUUUCAAUCUGAGAGGAAGAAGGAGGAAAGAGGGGCGGUGUUGGGAGUGAUGGUGUUUGUGUUGCCAAGUCACUGUGAAGUGGGAUGAGGCCCUGCUGUCCUGGAAAUGGCUGAACAGCUGUCUGCCCAUGGGAAGCAGUGAACUAAUUUCUUGUUUUGCUUUGCUUGUGUUUUUGGCUUUUGCUUCCCCUGUUAAAUUGCCUUUAUUGGACACCAUGAGUUUUCUCACUUUUAUUCUCCCACAACCCACUGUCUGAGAAUGUGGCAGUGUGGUUCUUUGGUAUCUGGGCUUAAACCACAACUGACAUACAGGAAUUUCUGCAUUGAAGCAACAUAGUAUUUCAGCUUGGAGUAAUGAGAAAUGGCGGGAACAUCUUGUCCUGGUUUUGGAGUGGGAUGAGACGGAAGAGUCUGUGCAUGGUUACUUCAGGCAAACAAAUCUCAUGAGUGUUAUGAGUUCUCUGGUCAGAGAUCCUGAUAUUUGGUGUCCUUUGGGAGAAGGUGGAAUUUCUUCAAUUAAUAACCAUGUAUGAACAGGCUUUUUAAAACCCUGCAGAAGAUAUAGUCACAUCUACAGAACUCUACGCAGGAUGGCUCAGCUGUGCUGCAACAUUAUUCUGCUGAAGAUUAUGGACCAGAGACAAGAGUAUAAGGUGCUGUAAGUUCUGUAUAUGUGACAUAUUAACGUAUCUGUGCAGGCUGAUAGCCAGUUGUGACCUGCCAUGAAAACAGACACAUGAAAUAUGGCAAAAAUAAGAGAUGGCAAAAAUAAGAAGUAGCAAA